rnacentral:tmRNA from 1 species
GGGGACGUUACGGAUUCGACAGGGAUAGAUUGAGCUCAAGCUGCGUGUCGAGGUUACGGCUCGUUAAACGUUACCCGCCAAUAAUAACUGGCAAAGAAAACAAUUUCUCUUUAGCAGCUGCAUAAGCUUGCUAAAGGAUCCUGCUUAGCAUCGCCCAUGUGCUAAGAUUUAGGGUCUCAAAUGAAGUGGGAUACGCUAACCUCCACCGUCUGAGGAUGUUAGAAGAGACUAAUCAGACUAGCGACUAAGGACGCCUGUUGGUUGGCAGAUUGGUUCGCGAAACACGAAUAAACCGACUACACACGUAGAAGCUUGAGUGGCGAUAUCUCUGGACGUGGGUUCGACUCCCACCGUCUCCACCA